rnacentral:rRNA from 1 species
CUACACGCCGACAUUGUGAACUGCCCUCGGGCAUUACUUGGGUGUCCUUUUGGGCGCCCAACGUUAAAACUCUUAAUUUUAUCUCUGAACACCAAGAAAUUUAAAACUUUCAACAACGGAUCUCUUGGUUCUCGCAUCGAUGAAGAACGCAGCAAAGCGCGAUAGGUAAUGCGAAUUGCACACGUGAGUCAUUGAAUCUUUGAACGCAUAUUGCGCCAUCAGGUUCUCCUGAUGGCAUGCUUGUUGGAGCGCCGAUCUUUCUCACACACUAUUUCGAUAGUGUGCGGUGCUGCUCCUAUUAGGAGUCAAAAGUAUGGAAGUACACACGUUAGACAACUCUGUGUAGUUUUUAUCACUUUUGGCCUCCAAUCAAGCAAGGCUACCCGCUGAACUUA